rnacentral:lncRNA from 1 species
GAGACUGUUGGAGGUAUGCCCUAGAGGCAAUCAUAGAGAUGAUGAUAUUCCAUUUGUAUCCAUGAUUUGUAUAUUGUGUUCAUUGAAUAUCCAUUAAAGGCUACUUGAAUUGAUUUGCAAUUAUGUGAAUUGUAUGUGAAACUCUUUACUUGUAUGGUUAUUCUAAAGUUGUCCCUAGUCGGAGUUCAUGUGAGGUCACACAUGAAUAUUAGACUAGCACAUGUAUUAGUUGAUGACUAUGUUUCACAAGUCAUGGACAUGGAGAUGUUGAACUAAUAAUGUGGACACAUGUGGAGACAUGUGCUAGGACUGACCCAACACGAGAAGUGGUUCUCUCUUUAAACAACAUAUACGCUUUGUCCUUAGACCUGAGAUUGUCGCAUGUUUUUUCCUCAUUUCCGUAGGGAUUUCACUCAUCCAAAGUGUUGUAAAGGUUAGAUACUUCAUCCUCCC